UACAGAGGGUGCAAGCGUUGUUCGGAAUUACUGGGCGUAAAGCGCGUGUAGGCAGCAAUGUAAGUCGGAUGUGAAAGCCCUUGGCUCAACCAAGGAAGUGCAUCCGAUACUGCGUCGCUUGAGUGUCGGAGGGGUCGGCGGAAUUCCCGGUGUAGAGGUGAAAUUCGUAGAUAUCGGGAGGAACACCUGUGGCGAAGGCGGCCGACUGGACGAUAACUGACGCUGAGACGCGAAAGCGUGGGUAGCAAACAGG
rnacentral:rRNA from 1 species